AUUGUUUAUUUUAAUUAAUUUAUGAUUGUGUGUAGAAAGCUUGUAAAGUGAUCCGCAGACACCAUGGUAACAGUUCAUGCUAAAUUAAACCAAAGUGACCUGGAUCUUAUAUUUUCCUACAAACCCAAUAGCUGAUGCUGCGCAUGAAAGAGUUAACGUGUUAAUGUUACGGCUGAGUGAAGGGACGAGACGCCGGUGAGAAACCGGCGUGCAGCAGGAGACGGUGGGCCGAGAAGUGACUCAUCACAACAGGCUGGGACUGAUGGAGAGUCCCAUAGGAGGACGAAGUCUGCACACAUCUGAAAGAGACAAAUCCGAUCAGUUUCCUUGUGCUGAGAUCUGCACAGUUUACCCCCCCCCAGAAAUACACCUAGGAAUGAAGUGAUUGACAGCCUUGAUGAUGUGCUGGACCUUGAUAUUACGAGAAGGGGGCAGGACCUCACAAAUGAUGGUACCAACACUCAAGUGGUGAAGAAAAACAUUCUGGAUGAGUGACGUGUUCUCCGUGUUCACCUCCAAGCUGCCUAAGAAGAGAGAGCUCCAUGGUCACAUGAGCUCAGAGGAAACCCCGGUAACGUGCACCAAUUUUGAGAAAUACCACCGGAGGAAGUUUGGGAAGGUGGGUAUGAGGCACUACCACCUGAAGAGAAACACCGUCAACUGCCCAACCAUCAACCUGGACCAGCUGUGAGCGAGCAGACCUGAGUGAACCAUGCCUACAAACCUGACAGCCCCGCCCCAUUGCUGAUGUUCCUGCAAUUUUGUGAGUUAAAUGUUUGUAUCACUGUGUUCAUGUAAAGAAUUUUUUUAAA